GUGGGUUAUGGGGACAUGCGGCCCGUCGGUGUCUGGGGUAAAUUGGUUGGUUCGCUAUGUGCCAUCGCCGGAGUGCUGACUAUCGCGCUCCCAGUACCGGUUAUCGUGUCCAAC
rfam:Strigamia maritima strain Brora ctg7180001230683, whole genome shotgun sequence.